UGAAAUGGGCGGUCUGGAAACACAGUGAGAGGAUCCUCAGGUGCUUUCCUCUGCUGACGAUAUUGACAGCGCGGCUUGAUGUUCUUGAAAGCAGCACGGUGCACCGAUAUUGUUUACAAGUUUUAAAAGAGAAAGAAUAGCAACAAACUCCGAUUUACGUUUUGAGAAUUAGCGUUGCAUUUUUGGAGCCAACAAUGGGGAAAGUGGAAGGAGGAAUGAAAUGUGUAAAAUAUCUACUUUUCAUCUUCAACUUCAUAUUCUGGUUGAUGGGCUCGUUGGUCCUUGCGGUUGGAUUGUGGUUGCGGUUCGAUCCUGAGACCGUCGCUCUGCUGAACGGAGACGGAGCGCCAGACACCUUCUUUUAUGGUGUGUAUAUCCUGAUCAUAGCGGGCAGUCUAGUGAUGUUGGUGGGAUUCUUUGGCUGCUGUGGAGCCAUACGAGAGUCCCAGUGUCUGCUGGGGUCGUUCUUUGCCUGUCUGCUGAUCAUCUUUGGAGCAGAGGUUGCCGCUGGUGUGUUUGGCUUCUUAAACAAAGACAAGAUAAUCGAAGAUGUCCAGAACUACUACAUCAAAUCCUACAACGACGGCAACAGCAACAACAACACAAUGAUACAAAACUCUUACCACAAAGUUCUGAACUGUUGUGGAACGUCCCAGAGCGUCUGCCCCGAGGCCCCAGCUGACACCAAGGACUGUGAGGUGGGCAUCAAGGAGUUCUUCAACAGUAAACUGUACAUCAUCGGUUACGUGGGGAUCGGCAUCGCUGGAGUCAUGAUUAUAGGGAUGAUCUUUAGUAUGGUGUUGUGCUGUGCCAUCCGCAACAGCAGGGAGAUCAUCUAACCAGGCAGAGCUUCCAGUCCUCCAGUCCCCCCAACGACCCAACUCCAGUCCCCCCAACGGCCCAGCUCCAGUCCUCCAGUCCCCCCAACGGCCCAGCUCCAGUCCUCCAGUCCCCCCAACGGCCCAGCUCCAGUCCUCCAUUCCCCCCAACUCCAGUCCUCCAGUCCCCCCAACGGCCCAGCUUCCAGUCCUCCAGUCCCCCCAACGGCCCAGCUCCAGUCCCCCCAACGGCCCAACUCCAGUCCUCCAGUCCCCCCAACGGCCCAGCUUCCAGUCCUCCAGUCCCCCCAACGGCCCAGCUCCAGUCCCCCCAACGGCCCAACUCCAGUCCUCCAGUCCCCCCAACGGCCCAGCUCCAGUCCUCCAGUCCCCCCAACUCCAGUACUCCAGUCCCCCCAACGGCCCAGCUCCAGUCCUCCAGUCCCCCCAACGGCCCAGCUCCAGUCCUCCAGUCCCCCCAACGGCCCAGCUCCAGUCCCCCCAACGGCCCAGCUCCAGUCCUCCAGUCCCCCCAACAACCCAACUCCAGUCCUCCAGUCCCCCCAACUCCAGUCCUCCAGUCCCCCCAACGGCCCAGCUCCAGUCCUCCAGUCCCCCCAACGGCCCAGCUCCAGUCCUCCAGUCCCCCCAACGGCCCAGCUCCAGUCCCCCCAACGGCCCAGCUCCAGUCCCCCCAACGGCCCAGCUCCAGUCCCCCCAAC